rnacentral:rRNA from 1 species
GGACGAACGCUGGCGGCGUGCCUAAUACAUGCAAGUCGAACGGUCUUUCUAUGGAAGCUUGCUUCCACUGAGAAGAUAGUGGCGAACGGGUGAGUAACACGUGGGUAACCUGCCCAUAAGAGGGGGAUAACAUCCGGAACGGUGCUAAUACCACAUAGUUUUCUUGAUCGCAUGAUCGGGAAAGGAAAGACGGCCUUUGUGCUGUCGCUUAUGGAUGGACCCGCGGCGUAUUAGUUAGUUGGUGAGGUAACGGCUCACCAAGACGAUGAUACGUAGCCGACCUGAGAGGGUGAUCGGCCACAUUGGGACUGAGACACGGCCCAAACUCCUACGGGAGGCAGCAGUAGGGAAUCUUCCGCAAUGGACGAAAGUCUGACGGAGCAACGCCGCGUGAGUGAAGAAAGGUUUUCGGAUCGUAAAACUCUGUUGUCAGAGAAGAACAAGUUGGAGAGUAACUGCUCCAGCCUUGACGGUAUCUGACCAGAAAGCCACGGCUAACUACGUGCCAGCAGCCGC